UACGUAGGGGGCUAGCGUUGUUCGGAAUCACUGGGCGUAAAGAGCACGUAGGCGGAUCUUUAAGUCAGGGGUGAAAUCCUGGAGCUCAACUCCAGAACUGCCUUUGGUACUGGGGAUCUCGAGUCCGGAAGAGGUGAGUGGAACUCCGAGUGUAGAGGUGAAAUUCGUAGAUAUUCGGAAGAACACCAGUGGCGAAGGCGGCUCACUGGUCCGGUACUGACGCUGAGGUGCGAAAGCGUGGGGAGCAAACAGG
rnacentral:rRNA from 1 species